CUACAGACCACCUGUCCUUCUCAGUUACUUCACGGGUGAUAUAUCGCUCGAUGAUCGGAUUUGGGGCCUGUGUUGCGUACCUAUCUAGAUGGUAUUGUUGGGUUUGGUUUCCACUGUUGUUUGCGGCAUCUCUUUCKUAGGGAAGUCGUGAACACACAAAUUGGCGCUUGUUUUCCUUUCGACUUGGCAUUGCCUUGUCCGAUUUGGUGAAUAAGUAGUCGGUUGAACUCUCGGAUAUGGAAAAGAUAUCGGCGGUGACUCGAAGUAAUUCAGUCCCGGCAACAGCACAUCUGUCCUUCGGGCAAAAGAUGACGGUCAAGACUUCGUCCCACUCUCAAUUUCCUUAGUGUUUGCGAGAAUGAGGCGAGGAAUUGCUGUGAUCGAUGAAUGCUACCUGGUUGAUCCUGCCAGUAGUCAUAUGCUUGUCUCAAAGAUUAAGCCAUGCAUGUGUAAGUAUGAACGAAUUCAGACUGUGAAA
rnacentral:misc_RNA from 1 species